rnacentral:rRNA from 1 species
CAGGCCUAACACAUGCAAGUCGAGCGGAUGAGUGGAGCUUGCUCCAUGAUUCAGCGGCGGACGGGUGUGUAAUGCCUAGGAAUCUGCCUGGUAGUGGGGGACAACGUUUCGAAAGGAGCGCUAAUACCGCAUACGUCCUACGGGAGAAAGUGGGGGAUCUUCGGACCUCACGCUAUCAGAUGAGCCUAGGUCGGAUUAGCUAGUUGGUGAGGUAAAGGCUCACCAAGGCGACGAUCCGUAACUGGUCUGAGAGGAUGAUCAGUCACACUGGAACUGAGACACGGUCCAGACUCCUACGGGAGGCAGCAGUGGGGAAUAUUGGACAAUGGGCGAAAGCCUGAUCCAGCCAUGCCGCGUGUGUGAAGAAGGUCUUCGGAUUGUAAAGCACUUUAAGUUGGGAGGAAGGGCAGUAAGUUAAUACCUUGCUGUUUUGACGUUACCAACAGAAUAAGCACCGGCUAACUUCGUGCCAGCAGCCGCGGUAAU